GAGUCUCUCUUAAGAAGAAACUGCCCUUGCUGCAGGAGCACAGAUCAACACUUUAGGUUGAAACUGGAUGGUUUCAUUUGCCCUGAACAGCUCUCUGCUGAAACACCAGUGCCACUGGGGUCAGAGAGGAGCAUCCGGAUGGAAGUACUGCAGCAGAUCCGGGGCGUCUGCAGCAAUCAGAUCACGCUCGUGUGGGCCUAAGGACUCAACUGACUUGGCUUUAGAUAUCCCAGGAGACUCCUGCUUUCUGUCUUUUGCUAUCUGAAUAUUUUUCCAUCUGUUUCUAAGGGAUCACAGUGAGCAGUUGCCCUCAUGCCCCUUGAAACGGACCCAGACACAUGGGUUAGGCUGAGCAAGACCUGUGAAAAGGUAUUUCUGCACAGAUCAGCAAGACAAAAACCCGUGGAAUGUUUGGUGACCAGCUCAGCCCAAACCUUGGUUAAGCUUCAGCUUAUUCAAAAAGAAAGGAGAAACAUGUGGAAACUCUUUGUUGCAUAGUAGCUCCAAGAGGCUGGCACUGUCAGGGUGCCCUCAGUGAACUCUAAAAGAAAAGUCAAUGGGACUGCAGCAGUGCACACGAGAUCCGUACAGCCAGUUUCUGCCCCCAUCUUCACAUGGGUUCUAUGGAGGUGACACUUCUCUGAAGCUGGUCCGCAUACAUGAAAGUACCUGAGUUUUCUGUCUGUAAACACCACAUGGGGCUGGCUGUGUUACUACUCAGACAGAACAUAAAGAUGUACAAAGUUCUCCAAGUGCCACAUAUGACUAUUGCUGGACAAAGAACAGCUUUUCAUUUACUGGCAUCAGGAGCAGAAGCAUGUGCAUUUGCCAUCCAUCAAGGGUCUUAGAAUACAUGUGUUUUAAAGGGAGACAAGCACAGGCAGAGAUGGAUCCAAACAAGCUGCAGCAUUAUCUCAAUUUGUUUUCGAGUAAUUCUAUAUGGGUAAAUAUUAAACUGUGUGAGAGGGAAGGCCCUGUGCCAGCCAAGAUUUAGCCAGAACCAGGCCUCCCCUCACCAUGUUUCUGUCUGCAAAGAGCAGGAGCUUUGCUAAAUUUGCAGCAGACAGCUCUGACCAACAGGCAGUUGUUCAAUUAUAUCUUAAGCCUCCUUGACACAUGAUAAAGAAACAUGUAUAUUAAAAUGCCAUGUAAAAACCAGGCUUCUCAGGGACUGUAAGCUGAGAUCUGUGCCAGCAAGUUUCAAAAUGAGGAUUUGACCCAUGAGAUCAUGUUAUCCCAUUCACAACACAGAGCAGAAGGAAAGUUUGGGGAUUCGAAUCCUUUUGAACGUGAUACUGUAGCUGUGAGAAGAGCCAGGGAUUUACAGAUUUGUAGAGCAGUAGAUACACACUUGUAUUUACUAAGGCAUCAGAUCUUGUACAGUUGGUCAAGUUCUCCAGCACAGAGCGGUCUGUUGGUAUCACUCAGUUAGUAAAAUGCAGCAUAAAAUCCACAUUAGCCAUUCUGGAGCAGAUAACUUCACACUAACAGAAGCUCCCAUACAUCAGGUACUUCCAAACUGCAAUCCUCUUUGCUCCAAAGCCGAAGAGAAGGAGGAAUGGCCAAAAGAGAAAAGUCACUGUCUGGGUAUGAAGGUGAGCCCAGCUGCGAUGUGCCCCCCUUGAGGCUGGUAACGAUCAAGGAAAUAUUCAGUAAAUAUUCUUUUAAUAUGCAGAAGGUACAAGUUUAAGAGAAAGAAGAAAAAUUCUUUCAAAGAAAUAGGAACAAAUAUUCGUGAGCUGGGUAAUCCAGGCUGAUUUACAUGUCCAGAGGGUGGACAGGAGUGUCAACCAGAGGUGUGGGCAGCUGCAUUAGUUCUGAAGUCAAGGAACUCAGUAUCUAAACUGCAUCUAAGCAGAGCCUGCCUGCCAGAAGGAAAAAUGCUCAGUACGGUGUAACUGCACACUGAGAGCUAAUGAAGCAUUCUGGGGAUGAAAAAGAGAGCAGCAGGCCCAGGUCAAUAAAGAUGGGCUGAACGCUAGAAAUGAAAUUAGUGUAAGAACACAAUGAGAGGAAGAGAGAUUAUACAAUAAUCCAUUUGUGAAGAUUUGGAUGCAGAAAAUAAGUAAUAUGAUGUUUCAAGAGCACGCGGUCAUUCCCCCAGUGACUGUAUUAUAAUAGAUAUGUGCAAUGUUAGUUUUAAUAAUGAACAUGCUGUCUUAUCCUUUGUGUUUUCUGGUUUUUGAUGAUUUUUCUGACUACAACUUUAUCUGAGGAAUUUUUAAGCCUUUUAUUGCAUUUCUGUGCAGAUGGAAAAAAGUCCUCAUGUAGCUCAUGACACUUCCACAUGCCUCAUUGCGUAUAAUAGAUACUCUUUCAGAACCUGCUGUUACUUUAAGAAUUGACUUGUUAUAUAUAAAAUUAUAUCUGUCAGGUUGCCUAGAUUUAGAGAUACCUCUUGGACUGGAAAUGCAACUUACAUGUAGGUUUAGAAGGUUUUAUCACAUGGUCUACAUGCCUGGUGCCCAUUUAACCAAUUCUCACAUUUUUCUAUUAUGUUUUUUUUUUUUUUUUUAAGAUUUUCUUUCUUUAUAAAGAAGGCUAAGGUAAUUUACUCCCAAUGUUUAUUAUAUAUGAAGUUGUUGAAAUAAUGAGGGCAAUAAAAUUGAAUUUAGCAUUGUCUUUAUUGGUACGAAGGUUACAUUCAUAAGUUUUGUUUGUUUUAAUAGGUUUAUUGUACAGUCUUAGGCAUAUGCUAUUGUGCAGCGAUGGAUAUGCUUUGAAUAUUUUUGUAAUUGUGGGUAGUAUAAAAGUCAUUUUCUGUUAGAUUGCACAAAUCCAUUACAUUAGUAGAAAGAUACAUUAUUGUAAUAGGAUUAAUGUGCAACACAUAAACAUGAUCAGUAAUAUUCUUUGUGAUAAAUUAUCUCAUUUUAAUCACUUGGAAUGUAGAGAGAUUUCAGGAUAGUUCCAUCUUUGAUUUGCAUAAUUGUAUUACAGACAGACAAAUUGCAUUAUAUUCUUCAUUAACAAUAGAUGGCUUGUAUAACUAUUGUAUUUUUGAAGGAACUGCUCUUAUGUUCAUCCUGUAAUUUGUCAUUUUAUGACACCACUGUUUAGCUUAGUUUGGAGAGAAUAGAAACUAAAAGAUAAUUUGAUUUUAGCAGAGUACAAGUAAUAUCUCUGCAUUCCGCUGUAAUGCGGUAAGCUAUUGUUUGUUUUAACAAAUUAUAAUCCAACAGCCAAAGUUAGUUAAAAAAUUCUUAUUAUUUCUGGCUGAUCCCAUGUUCAUGGCUUUUCACAGCAAAGCGUCAGCGCUUGUAAAGGAACUUCGACGUGAAAACACAACAUUAAAUUAAAUUAGAUCCAUCAGAAUGUUUUCUACUUCUCUACUUGGGCUCUCCCUCACCUGUUCAUAUUUUUCUUCCUUAUGCAUUCGCACACACCGACACAUGCUCUGUUCUAGCUUUAACAGAGUUCUUUAGGGCUCUAUGAUUCCAUAGGUAAACGAAACAACUGAAUUGCAAAUUAUAUCAUAAAAUGUAUUAUACAUUUUUUUUCCAAUUGCAAGCCCUUCUCUUUAAGGAUAAUGUAUCUUUGCUAUGAAAAACUAAAUUGUUCUGCAGAUAUUUUAGGAUAAAACAAAUUGUUUUUUUCAUAUUUCUCUAACCAAGCCUUCUUCAAUCAUUUUUGACUGCUAAGAAUACCAGUAAAUUAAAAGUUAGUAGCUUGAGACAGCCUUGUACUCCUACCAAAUCAAAACCAGCUUCUUAUUUUAGAAAAUCUAAUUGUGGCACUCUAUUAUGGUACCUCGAGUGUUGUGAUUCUUUAAAAAGAAAUUGGGUUUAGAAAGAAAUUAGUAUGGCUAAAUCACAGAUACUUUUGUUUGAUAAUGAAACACAAAACUGAAGUUCCUGAUAUACAUGCAAAUCAGAACUCAGGCCUAACUCAUUGAAGAUUGCUGUUUUAAAUGGAAUUUCAAAAAUCUCAGCCAACAUUCUUAUAAUUUGAUCCUAAAUGCAGGCUGUUAGCUUAGGGCUCGAUCCCACAAAUGUUUUUGUACAUUUUUAU
ensembl:lncRNA